AUAAAUAUUAAUAUAUUAAUGCCCUCUUCCAUUGCAAUAUUUUAGAUAUUUUUAUUUCUAUCUAUUAAUUAACUGGCUGAUUUUUUUUUCAUCAUUUAUGUAGUAAACUAAGAUAAUAUAUUAGUCUUUUAACACCACAGAGUAAAAAUCGUCGCAAAUGAUCGGGGAUUUUUUUUGUGGGGAGGGGGGUUAAUUCACAAAGAUAGUGUAUGCCUUUGGUCUUUUUGGGUUUUUUUUUUUUUUUUUCAUUCUUAUGGGGGAAAUCACAAAAGGGAAUAAUUCUAUUGAAUUACAGAAAAAAAAAACCAUUCAUAUCGAAUACGUUAUUUUUGGUUGAAAAAGCAUGG
rnacentral:lncRNA from 1 species